rnacentral:miRNA from 1 species
UUUGAAUGUCCAGAUACGUAC